CUUUAUCACACCAGAAAGUACAGCGUGACUGAGAAUUCAUAUAAACCUUCCAAAAAUCUUCUCUCAGAAAAUGAACCGGAUCUCUCCUGGGCCUCAUACACCUCACAGAUAACAAAUCUUCAUCCAAAAAAACGUUUAGCUUUUUGUUGUGAUGAAUUUCUUGCGAGUCUUCCAUUUAACUUCUUUAACAACUUCACGAUGAUCUUUGCAGAUAAGCUCAUUCCCACAGAGGUUCCUUCUCCUACAGAGAAUUAUGUCGAGGACAGG
rnacentral:lncRNA from 1 species